GAGGUAGUGACAAUAAAUCACAAUGCGGAACUUUUAGUUUUGCAAUUGGGUUGAGAACAAUGUACAAAUGUUAUCGAUAAACAAUUGGAGGGCAAGUCUGGUGCCAGCAGCCGCGGUAAUUCCAGCUCCAAUAGCGUAUAUUAACGUUGUUGCAGUUAAAAAGCUCGUAGUUGAAAAGUGGGAUGAAGUAUAUAAUGAAUUUCUAAUUCAAUUCUAUAUUGAUUCCCCUCUCCAAUUUAUUAUUAUGGGUAUUAAUUUAUUUGUAAUAAGAAUUGGUCAUUUACUGUGAGAAAAUUAGAGUGUUCAAAGCAGGCAUUUGCUUGAAUAGAUUAGCAUGGAAUAAUACUAAAAGGCUUUUAUGGUCGAUUUAAUUGGUUUGUUCAUAAAAGCAAGAUUAAAAGGAACAGUUGGGGGUAUUCAUAUUCAAUAGUUAGAGGUGAAAUUCUCGGAUUUAUGGAAGAUGAACAAGUGCGAAAGCA
rnacentral:rRNA from 1 species